rnacentral:lncRNA from 1 species
UUUUUAAUAGGUAGUCUUCCACUGAGAGAGAGAUCUCUCAGUAUACCAUUGAUUUCCUAAUUUCCCUCACCAAAUUUCUUAAACCUUUCUCAUGAUCUGUACUUCCUUUUUCUGAUUGAAUCGAAUCAUCACGUAUUCUGUUCUUGAUCUGUAUACCAUUGAUUUCCUGAUUUCCGUCACCAAAUUUCUUAAACCUUUCUCAUGAUCUUUGCUUCCCUUUUCCUAAUUUCCCUUUUCUGACUUGUGCCAAUCAUAUCGUAUAGUGUUCUUGAUCUGUAUCUUUCUUGCUUGAAAGGUAAAUCCUACUUUCUUUUCUCGUUUUCUACCACUAAUUUUGUUUCAAAUAAGAUUUUCCCAUUUGGUUGUAGAAUAAAUAAGUAGGAUUGUAUAUUGAUCAGGUAGAACUUAAUUAUAUGUGUUGCUUAAUCUAUCUUAGAACUCAAAACUCAUAUUAUAGCUUUGUUCUUACAUGUUCAUAUUGCCACCAACUUCAACUACUUGUCUUAAAAACAGGUGCUCUCAAGGUUUCUUUUGUCUGUUGAGUGCCUCUUGUCAGCUUGAUAGGUUACUAGUUUGCCUACUCUUUCUCAUAUUCUUGUGCUUGCAUUUUCAGCUCAGCUUUCCCAGAGUUUCAACGUUGGGGUGCGUCCACACGUUUCCUCACUCAGCAAUUAGCUUCAGAUUCUUUUGUUAAAAUUCUUUUGAAUCCAGGUAAAGUAUUUAUAUGUCACGACCCGAAUCUUUUGACAAGUAACUAUUGUUUGAAUCUUUUUAAGUAAAACACAAGUUGUACAAAUUGGCCUUAUGGAGUUCAUCAAUAGUUUAUCAUCNNNNNNNNNNNNNNNNNNNNNNNNNNNNNNNNNNNNNNNNNNNNNNNNNNNNNNNNNNNNNNNNNNNNNNNNNNNNNNNNNNNNNNNNNNNNNNNNNNNNAUUCUUUGCUGUUUUUAACUUAUUAUUUUAGUUUCAACCUUUCCUUUUCUGAUCGAUGUAACUUACAUUAAUUUUAUUCAAUAUUUUGACUCUGUUUUUAUAUAUAGGGCAAAAUGGUUCAAUCAAAUGACCCAUUUUGGCACCAUGUUGAGGAGAUGAAGUGUAUGUAUUGUGGGCAUCAAUUUGCUAAGGAUACUUCCAUUUCAAGGAUCAAAUGGCAUUUAUCAGGAGAGAAAGGGCAUGGUGUUGCAAUUUGUGACAAAGUGACUGAAGACGUUCAAGAAGCAGCUUUUCAAGCUAUGCAUGGUGGCAACAAGAGACAUAAAAGCAUAGCAAGUUCAAGCAAUGUUAAUGAUAAUGCCAUUUCAACCACUCCACAAGAACAAAACAAUAAUGAAGUCGACAAUUUGGCAGGAGAUGCAGGAAGGACACAAGCACCAGAUACAAUGGGUCAAGCGCUUGAAAGACGUUUGGAAGAGUUCGAUAGAUGGUUAAUGGAGGAUGAUAUCGAUAAUGGGACUGGAGGAGUAGUGCAGCCUGGUGCAGGAGCUAGCUCUUCUGGAGGGCUUACAUGCAACACAAAUGAGACUCCAGGAGACGCAGUACCAACGACAAAGCUGGUGGGUCAAGCAUUCGAAGACCAUAAGAAGACUAUCUGGUCUUGGUUGAUGCACGAUGAAGUUUCAACUAUUGGCAUCUAUGGGAUGGGCGGAGUGGGAAAGACGACAUUGGUGACACACAUUUAUAAUCAGCUUCUAGAAAGACCAGGCACUUUCUGCCAUGUUUACUGGAUUACUGUUUCACAAGAUACUAACAUUAAUAAAUUGCAAAACAGUAUCGCCAAACGGAUUGGUUUAGAUCUUUCUAAUGAAGAUGAGGAGCUGUAUAGAGCUUCCAAAUUGUCAAAAGAAUUAACGAAGAAACAGAAAUGGGUUUUGAUUUUAGACGAUUUGUGGAAGGCUAUUGAGCUACACAAGGUGGGAGUCCCUAUCCAAGCUGUUAAGGGAUGCAAGCUGAUCGUUACAACACGAUUAGAAAAUGUUUGUCAGCCGAUGGGUAAACAACACACAAUCAAAGUGGAGCCUAUUUCGAAGGAAGAAGCUUGGGCUUUGUUUAUUGAGAGACUUGGACACGACACAGCACUUUCUCCGGAAGUGGAACAAAUUGCAAAAUCUGUGGCAAGGGAAUGUGCUGGCUUGCCGCUAGGAGUUAUAACCAUGGCUGCAACCAUGAGGGGAGUGGUUGACGUACGUGAGUGGAGGAAUGCGUUGGAGGAAUUGAGAGAAUCAAAAGUUAGAAAAGAUGAUAUGGAGCCUGACGUAUUCUACAUAUUGAGAUUUAGUUAUAACCAUCUAAGUGAUUCAGAACUGCAACAAAGUUUCUUGUACUGUGCAUUAUUCCCGGAGGACUUCAAGAUCCGUAGAGAGGAUUUGAUAGCUUAUUUGAUUGAUGAGGGAGUGAUAAAAGGGCUAAAGAGUAGGGAGGCAGAAUUUAACAAAGGCCACUCGAUCCUUAAUAAACUUGAAAGAGUCUGCCUAUUGGAAAGUGCUGAGGAAGGGUAUGUCAAGAUGAGAGUCUGCCUAUUGGAAAGUGCUGAGGAAGGGUAUGUCAAGAUGCAUGACUUGAUUAGGGACAUGGCCAUCCAAAUACUGCAAGAGAACUCUCAAGGCAUGGUCAAAGCAGGUGCACAGUUAAGAGAAUUGCCGGGAGAAGAGGAGUGGACAGAGCAUCUUAUGAGAGUUUCACUGAUGCAUAACCAGAUUAAAGAAAUUCCUUCCAGCCAUUCACCAAGGUGUCCCAGUCUUUCAACUCUAUUGUUACGUGGAAAUUCAGAGUUGCAAUUUAUAGCAGAUUCAUUUUUUGAGCAGUUGCGUGGACUCAAGGUUCUUGAUCUGUCUUAUACAGAUAUCACAAAACUGCCUGAUUCUGUCUCUGAAUUGGUGAGUCUCACUGCAUUAUUGCUCAUAGAAUGCAGGAAGAUAAGGCAUGUACCGUCAUUAGAAAAGCUCAGGGCACUGAAGAGGUUAGAUCUCUCUGGUACUCGGGCACUUGAAAAGAUUCCUCAAGGCAUGGAAUGUCUAUGCAACCUGAGGCAUCUUAGAAUGAAUGGAUGUGGUGAAAAGGAGUUUCCUAGUGGGUUGUUACCUAAGCUCUCUCACCUGCAAGUCUUUGUAUUGGAGGAGUGGAUCCUCCUGUACCAAAGAUAUUAGAGAGGGACACCCUGCUCCGUUAACUGUAAGAGGAAAGGAAGUGGGUUGUUUGAAGAAGUUGGAAAGUUUGGUAUGCCAUUUUGAAGGUUACUCAGACUACGUGGAGUUUAUCAAAUCUCGGGAUGAAACCAAAUCACUAACCACAUACCAAAUUCUUGUAGGACCACUGGAUAAGUAUCGUUAUGGUUAUGGUUAUGAUUAUGAUAAUGAUGGUUGCAGAAGGAAAACAAUUGUUUGGGGUAACUUGAGUAUCGACAGAGAUGGAGGUUUUCAGGUCAUGUUUCCAAAGGACAUUCAACAAUUGACUAUUGAUAAUAAUGAUGAUGCAACAAGUUUAUGCGAUUUUUUAUCUCUAAUAAAGAAUGCAACUGAACUGGAGGCUAUCAAGAUUUUUAGUUGCAAUAGCAUGAAGAGCUUGGUUUCAUCUUCUUGGUUCCGCUGUACUCCGCUACCAUCUCUAUCUUACAACGGUAUAUUUUCUGGUCUUAAACAGUUUAAUUGUUCUGGUUGUAAGAGCAUGAAGAAGUUGUUCCCUCUUGUCUUGCUGCCAAGCCUCGUAAACCUGGAAAAGAUUACAGUUAAAGGUUGUGAGAAAAUGGAGGAGAUAAUAGAUGAAACAAGACCAGAUGAAGAGGGGGUUAUGGGUGAAGAAACCAGCAGCAGCAAUAUCGAAUUCAAACUCCCAAAGUUAAGAUAUCUGAAAUUGGAGGGAUUACCAGAACUGAAAAGGAUUUGUAGUGCAAAACUGAUUUGCGAUUCUAUCGGAGUAAUUGACGUAAGAAAUUGCGAGAAGAUGGAGGAGAUAAUAAGUGGAACAAGAUCAGAUGAAGAAGGGGUUAUGGGUGAAGAAAGCAGCAGCAGUAGCAUCACCGAUCUCAAACUCACAAAAUUAAGUUCUCUAUCAUUUAUUGAAUUACCAGAACUGGAAAGCAUUUGUAGUGCAAAACUGAUUUGCGAUUCUCUCAAAGAGAUUGCAGUUUAUAAUUGUAAGAAGCUGAAAAGGAUGCCAAUUUGUCUUCCGUUGCUUGAAAAUGGCCAGCCAUCUCCUCCCCCUUCUCUUGAAGUAAUCUAUGCAACGCCAAAAGAAUGGUGGGAGUCAGUAGUGGAUUGUGAGAAGCUGAGGAGGUUGCCAAUUUGUCUUCCGUUGCUUGAAAAUGGCCAGCCAUCUCCUCCCCCUUCUCUUAAAUACAUCAGGGUAGAUUCAGAAGAAUGGUGGGAGUCAGUAGUGGAGUGGGAGCAUCCUAACGCUAAGGAUGUCCUUCGUCCCUUUGUACAGUAGUCAGUAGUCAGAUUUUGAAUGAGUGACAACAGUACUGCCCUUAAUAUAAUAUUAAAUUAAGAGUAAGCAUUGUUGUUUUAAUUGGAUUAAGCUUAAGCUAUGUGUCUACUUAAUGACUGAUGUGUUCAUUAUAUUACCUGGAAGACAUUUAUUUAGAGAGUAAAACAUCAAAUGCAAGACAGUGGUGGAGUGGGAGCUUCCUCCGUCCCUUUAUGGAGUUUUCAUACGUAAACAUUCAUGUGAAACUCUUGUGAUUAAAAGUAGCUCAUUGAUAUUAAAAUUAAUUAUUUUUUUUUUGUAGUUAGAACAGUUGUCAAUUAAGAUUUUUUUUUUCUCUAUCAAAAUCUGACCACUCUUUUCCUCUCUAGAAUUAAAAAUCUAAAACUAAAAAAAAAAAAUUAGACUAAAAUUGUCUUUUUGAAAAUUUGAGGGAUUGAAUAUUUAUAACUUGAAAAGCAUGAGGACCAAAAUGAACUUUUCAUGCUUAUUUUUAAAUUACCACCCAUUUUAUCGAUCCAUUUCUUUUAAUUUGAUUCUUUUUCUUUCAAUCUUAUAUGGGCUCAACAAAUUUAAAGUAAUUGUGUUUAAAUCUUAUAUGAAUAGUGUUUUGGUUCUGCAUUGUAUAUGCGACGACGCAUUGAAUUUCCUAUAAUAAUUAGAGUCAUUGCAAUUUGCAAGCAACUUUAUGUUUUUUUGAUCUAAAGGAAUAGACUGAACCAUAUUCACCUAAUCCUCAGAAAAAAAUGUGUCGAAUUGUCAAGAACACCAGAAUGUUCUUCUGCCUUUAGUGUCGUCUGCACUUGAUGAAUUGAAAUACCAAAUGCAUAAAGAAUGGGAAAUUUUACGAUUUUAUAAUCUAUUUUUACCAUUUAAAUUUAUAUUAUAUUUUUCAUAUCAUAUAAAAAAUAUAUUUUUAACAACUUUAUUACGUUCAAAGUAACACGCCGUCAUCUUCUCAAUGAUAUUACACAUGCCUGCGACAAAUGUGUGGUUUGGCCUUUACCACAUCUUUUAUUUUCUCCUCCUUAUUUUGUCUCUCUUUUCAUAGAAAAAUAAAAAAUUGUACUUUUAUUUUGUUUUUGUAUUUAAUUUAUUUUUUAUAUUUUUAAUUGUUAUAUAUUUUAUUUUAUUUUAAAAGUUUUUCCUUCAAUUUCAUACCUAUCAUUCUUUUAAUUGCUAUUUUUUAAUUAUUUUUCUAAUUACAUUUGGUUUUUAAUUUAAUCUUUUAGCAUUUGAUUUCAAAAUAUUUUUAUAUCAAAUUUAGUCAUUAUUUUUUUUUAUUAUUAUUUUGUUUUGAAGCCUUUUAUUUUGUAUUUUUUUUUCAAAUUCAUCCCUCAUUAUUUUGUUGAUUUAUAAUUUUGCUUUUUUAUUUUUUAGAGUUUGUUUUCUAUGUGGUUGGUCCCUAGCUCAUGAGCUUUUUUUAUUGUAUUUUUUUUAAAUCUAUCUCUCACUAUUUUGUUGAAUCUGAUCUAUAUCUUAGGCUUAUUUUUUUAAAAUUGAAUUUUUUUUCUCUUUCAUCUUUAUAUAUUUUUGAUUUAUUGGAGGUUAGUUUUCAUACCUUUAUUUUCAACUUCUUUUAUGUUUAAUUAUCUUAAUUUUAUGCUCAUAUUUAUGAAUUUAAUGUGUUGACAGGAGCGAAAUAGAUGAAAAAAAUUUAACUUAGAAUGUGAAAAAUCUUAAAUAUUACGGUGCAAUAAUACUGCACUAUCAAACAAGUGAAAUGAGACUAUUCAACACUUCAAGAGCAUCAAACAUCAAGGAAGAUCAGUGUAGUCUUAACUAAAAUAUUCACUUGCAACUUUUCCUAGUAGUCUGCAUGCUGUAAUUCUGGCCUUUCAAAGACCAAUAUUUUUUUGAUAAUUUCCUAUAAAUUAACUCUUCAGGUGUCAAAAAUAUAUGCAGUGAAACUCUAUAUAAACUUUUUAAAUAAUUGACAAAAAUUAAUGUUUUUAUAGCGUAGAUGGGAGAUGCAUGUUUGGCCAUUGCAAGAUGUUCUGUAGCAAAAAAUCUAGUGAGAAAUUUAUGAAAAAUGAAAAAAAAAAGUGCAAAAAGUUAUUCUAAAUUAAUACAUACAAUGCGUAUGUGGAAUUUUCUUAGCCUUGGCAUGACAAAUUAACAGUAGUGGUUUGUGGAAGAAGCCGCCAACUACCAUCGAUCAACUAGUAUAGGUGAGGGGUGGUAUUAAAAAUAAUUUUUUAAAAAUUAAAAUAUUAUUUUAAUAUAUUAAAAAAAAAUACGAUCAUUAUUUUAAUUUCAAACAUCCCUGAAGAAGUGUCAUUGCCAUGAUAAAUUUGACAGUAGUGGUUCCAACUUCCAACUGCAAUCAACCGAUUAAUAAUUGCGAGGGAGUGAUCCUCUGUUUUAAGGUUGAAUGUAUCUCAUCAUUCCACAAGACACUUCAUUUCGAUGCUGAUUGGUUAUGAGUAAAAGUUUUAAUUUUUUAAUUAAUAUUUUCUUUUAUUUUUUAAGAUAUAUGGUGAUGGUAUAAAAAAAAUAAAAAAAAAAUUAUUUUCAUAUAUUUUCAAAUAAAAAAUAUUUUUAAAAAUAAUCUUUACCAUAAUCUUUAAUAUUUCACACCAUACUUUUCUCUUUUCGUGCUCAAUAUUUUUUUUAUUUUUAAAUAUUUAUAUUUAGUAAUAGUUUUUUUUUUUCAUUAUGAUUUAGGUAUGGUUGUGAAAUUCAUGAUAAUAUAUUGGAUAUUUAGUUUUUUUCCAUUCUGGGGUCAUUUUUUAUUUGUAAUUCAUAUGAAUUAUUAGUUAUUUAGUGAUUUGGGAUAACCUAAUCAAGUCGUGUAAAGUAUAAAUUACAUCGCGGCUUGAAACGUAGAAGAAAGGUCAAGCAAUAUCCUUAUGGGAUUCUUCUCAUUUCCAUCGCGGCUUGAAAUAGAGAGCCCAAAUAAGCAAGGGUAGUCUUGGAAUGGUCGACAUAUAAUUUUAUGGCUGAGGUGGAAAAUGCAUGUUAGGCCUUUGCAAGAUGUUCUCUGGAUACAAUGAGUUGCUAGGGAAGAUUACGUUCAAUGUAUCUCAUCAGUCCAAAACACACUUCAUUUCACAGUAUCCUUUUCAUGGAUACAAUGAGUUGCUAGGGAAGAUUACGUUGUUCACUGGUAAUUUUUUUCCCAUUUCACUAAUAUAAAACGAGAGCCUUGAAGAAGUGGUUGAUGUAAAUUUUCCUUGUUUUUAUUGGAUUUUUUUUGUGUUAUUUUGAAUUUUAAGUCAAUUUUCUUUUAUUUUUAUGAUUUUGAUCCCAUAGUCUAUUUAAAAUACAUAUGAGUUUCUCAUAUGUGAUCUUACCAAAUCGAACCCACCAACCACACCUCAUAAACAGAUGAGUUUCUCACCAAACUUGACACUUUCAUGCAUCAAUGCUUUGGUGUCUUCUCUUUUGAUCUUCGUUGUUGAAGUUUUCCCCUCUUCAUUUUUGUGCAGACAUGAAGAUGUGAAUCACUAUGAGUUGAAGGCACCACAUCCAAAAAUGGCUCACCCCUGGCCAGACCACUUCCCACUGCAAGUAGCCAUGGGUGCAGCAGGUGACGAUGCUGAGGCCAAAUUAGUGCACAGAAGGUGGACUAAUGGUACCCUUAAUUUCUUAUGCUUCCUACCAGUUCACAGCACCUAAAUAAAAUCUUCAUCAACAUUACAAGUGCUGCUGGAAUCCUUGUAGGCUGACAUUAUUAGCUAUAAAAUGAUAAUCUUGUGGAUAAUUAUAUGAAAGUACCCUAAACUGAAAAGAAAAAAAGGUAUUCAAAGUAGAUGGUUUUAGAACUUAGUUAAUUACAACAAAUUCUAAAUUUUUAACAAAUUUGUUAUAUAUCGAGAUGAUUUCUUAUCUUUAAUAAAUAGAUCCAUUUUAAUAAUACAUUGCAGUUAAUUUAUCCCUAAUUUCACAAAUCAACUCGUAAAUACUUGUUGCAUAUAUAGUUCACAUAUGCAAGCCAAACACAAAUAAAAAUUCUUUUUCUUGAGUUUUCUUAUUCCAGCUUCCAAAUUCUUAUUUUGAUUAGUAAUGUAAAAAAUUAAUUAUUUUUGUUAGAUUUAUUUUUAAUAGUUUUAAUAUACUAAUAUAAAAAAUAAAAAAUAAAUAAUCUAAAAUAAUUAUUUUAAUAUAAAUAAUCUAAAAUACAUAUAUUAGAUUCCAGGUGGAUUUCCAGCUAAUAUGAACGUCAGCCAAGCCAUCAUCAAGAAGAGCAAGGUAAAACAAAACUCAUCAAUUGGGUCCCUAAUAUUUGAAACAAAUGAAAAUUUACAAAAGCAAUAAUAAUGAAGAAUUUAUAUGUGAGAAAGACUGAUUUUGGAAUCUGAAUCUCCCUAUGAUGGAUCAGAAUUGCAUAACAUAAUCGCCUUAUUACAUAUUUUCUUGGUAAAUAUCUUUAGAAAAAUCAUUAUUAGUUGUAAUAUUGGGAAAGAAUUAUAUUGAACUGAUUUACAUUUAUUUAUUUGUUGUAUUCAAAAUAAAAAUAAUAUAUGUCACAGCAAUUCUGGAAACCAGGCACCAAGAAACCCCGCAUCCUCGAAGAGCAAGAAGGCGGUGUCGUUUUCUUUGCCCCCUCUCUCUUCCGCCUCCUCUUCCUCCGGGUUUGGAUAUGCAAGUACUGGGAGUCAAAGGCAGAGAUUGAUUUUUAAGCUGAUGGGAAUACAUUCACCUGAUGGAAAAUUCUAAGGAUGCAUUGGAGUCGGGACUUUUAAAUGCCAGUAUUAUCCAAGGAUGAUUACCAAAGGAAAGGUUUUAAAUUCUGCCUUCCAUGCAUGGACUCUAGCCUCAGCAUUCCGAAUCUUACCAUCUGUUUUAAACUAUGUGUUUGAGUUGCUUGUAAUCUUCAAUGAAUCGAAAUAAUCGAAAUACAACCAAUGGAAUUUCGAUUAGCUUCCUUAAAAAGUUUCAAACCUUUUUACAUUGCCUGAAUAAGGGUUUCUUCAUUCAGUCUGAUUCUUAUUAGUUUGAUGACGUGAAUUUAACUAGCCUUUAUCUGAAAGUUUUGGGAGGUUUUGAAUUGAAUGAUAAGGAAGCACAGAUUAUCAGAAAGGUUUAAGAGAUUUGGUGAGGGAAAUUAGGGAAUCAAUAAGAAAUUAGGCUUAGAGGAAGACUAGCAAUUAAAGUCAUUGCAAUUUGCAAGCAACUUAAUGUUUUUUUACUCUAAAGAAAUAAAACAGAGGUGCGAAUCCCUUGUGCUUUCUUUGUCCUGUAUGCAAUGAUUACUCUCAUGGAAACCACCAUGCAAACUUCAUGUCACUUUCUGCUUUAUUUAUUCACACUAACUAUUCAACGAGUUCACAUUACACUGCUUUAAGUCCUCGAGUCUAAUGAAUUAAUGAAGAUAGAAACUUCAAAGAAAAUCACUUGGCUAGAAAUAACAUACUUCAGUACUGGAGUCUGCAGCUAGCAUGGAUAAAAAAACUAUCUCCUUCCUUGUUAGAGAGGGCUCUGACAUUGCUUCCCAUCUGGCACACUGUAACUUGCAGAUCCGUUUGGCUUUUGAGCUGUGGACUCCCCAUCACUUCAACUGAUUUGUUGUUUCUUUGACCACAAGAUGUUGAUUGUCUAGGGAAAUUCCAAGGACGCAUUGGGGUCAGAACUUUUAAUUGCCAGUAUUAUCCAAGGAUGAUUACAUACUGCAUGCUUCUAAGACAAAUAAAAAAUGUAUCAGUUCAUUUAAUGUAUUAGUUCUAAUUAAGUCAUUAAACAUAUUUGCUAGUUCGUGAUCAUUCCAAUUUUCUUGUUGCUGCUGUUGUCCAUUAACUCUCGUAUUUCUUGACUUAUCUGUCAGUAAAAUGAUUAAUGUUUCUUUCAAUUUUUAUGCCUGCAUAACGUAUCAGGAUAAAUACAGCAUUAGUGAUGCGAUCCAAUCAUUAAAGAAUCCAUUGGAAGUUCCUGUUAGUCCAGUUACUAGGUUUAGAGUCAGCUAAGAAGUUCAAAGAAGCUUUCAAUAGACUUCUUCAGGAGACAUGGGCUAAGAUAGACUUCAAGAGGAUUUGUAAUAAUAAAGAGCAAGCCUUGAUUAAUCUGAUUAAUGUUCAAGAGGGGCUUGUUGGUAGAACCAAGACCAUUACACAAGGAUUGAGAGAAGAAGACUAAAUUCGGAGAGUUUAACCUUUUGUUACUCUUUUGGUCAUAAUUGGAGCUAUAGAUAUAUUUUUUAUGUGAUUCAAGUUGUUCUGAAAACUAGACUUCCAUACCUUUCCAACGGUAUAUGGCAUGUCUUCUAAUUCAUUAAGAUGAGAGAGAACCAUUUGUUUUAAGUUGAACUUUUGCUGCUGCUCCCAUACAAAAUGCGGAAACAACAAAAUUAUCUUAUUUAAUUUGUUGGGCUAUCAAACUUCAUUUAUUUUGAGAGGAGACAUUUUAUUUAGGUCUUAGACUUGUUUAUUUUAAUUAGUUUGGGCUAGUUUUAACUUGGGUUGAUUAUUAUUUAAAUUAGGCUUAUGUGAGACCCAUUAGGAAAACUAGGGUUUUGGCUUGGAGUUUAAAUAUUCUUUAGGAAUAAUUUUAGGGCAGACUUGUGAUGAUAUUUUCAGCAUUGUAGCUGAUUUUUUGGUUGCUCAAUCUUGGUUCUUGAUUGAACUUUCAACUCUUCAAAGAAUUGACUAUUUUUUGUUGUGAAUUUAUACUUUCUUUGCUCGUCUCCAGGUGUAGGCGUUGUGAUCGAAUUGGUUUAUAUUCUUGUUGCUUUUGAGCAAGUUUUUCAUUGUGAUAAGCUCAUUCAAAUCUUAACAAACUUGGAUUAGAUUGAUUUUGAAGUCGUGAAUUCCAUUAAAUUCCGCUAGGAUUCGUAUCACUUGGUAUUGUUGCCGACAAGAGUUUGAAAAAGCCUCUCUAUACCUCUCCACGUUUGAACAAGGGAGAAGUUCUAUAUUUAGAAACACAUUCAUGCAGGUACUCCCUCUCUUUUUUUCUUUUUUUUUUGUGCUUUCUAAUUUGAAAAAAUAUGUUAAAAAAUAAAAUAAAUCAUAAAAACACUAAAUCUAUAUAAGUUUAUGUACAUCACAAACAGAUUUUGGAGCUUAAAAAAAUUCCCUUGUGAAAUAAAUUAAAUAAAUAUGAAGUUUCAGUUUUCUUCAUCUUAUGUUCUUAUUUUUUGAGAGGGUCCUUGGCUACUAGAAACAAGAAUCACACCCCUAUGGGUUCAGUAGCUUUAUUCAGCCAUGCCAUCUCAGAUUCAUCCAAAUAAGGGGCCAGAAUAUCCCUACAUCUCCCAUGGUAGCUGUUAAGCCAAUUUAUCACUUCAGGACCUAGACGGGUAAAGUCGAUCAUCUUCGUUUGAUAUGAAUUUUGUGCUCGAAAGAUAAGUAGCCCUAUUGUCACCAAAAUUGAAUUUUGUAUCGGCCUCCUUGACGAUAAGCACAUUCUCCAAUCUUAUCCCGAAGUUCCCAUCCUCAUAGUAUCCAGGUUCAUCUGUUACAGUCAUGGAAGCUAAUUACGAGCAUGUGGUCUGUUACAGUUCACCAAAAUCCUUCAUGUACAUUUAGGUAUGAUCCAAUACCAUGACCAGUGCCAUGUCGAUAAUCAAGAGUCCAAGACCAUCCUUCCAUAAAGGAAUUCGAGCAAGAAUGUCAAGGGCAUGACCGUUAGUUCCGUUGAGAAAACAAGCAUUACCCAAAGCAAUGUGACCCUUGAGAACCUGGUUUGCUGGAGACGAAGUUGAUGAUGGUGUCCUGGCUAGCCAAUGCUACCCCCUGUUUCUGUUCUUUGUUUUUUUUCGGUGUUUUUUGGUUUUUUAUCUAUUAAAUAUAAAUUAUAUCUUGAGAAUUCAUCUAAUAAUUUAAAAUAUUAAAUUAAAAUAAUUCUUUGACAUAUUCAAUCUGAUAAAUACAUUUUGCCUUAAAAAAAAAAAGGGCAGCACGCGUUUUUUUCAAUUAUGGAAAAAAAAAUUAUUUUUUUUUUUCCUGAGAAGAAAUAACGAUCCAUCUUAAUUAAAGGCCUUCAGAUUUCAACACAUGAAGGGAUGCAUACAUAUCCCAGGAAUUAACAAUGGAGGAGGGAUAACUUUUAAUUGCCACUGAUUUCUUGACAAAACGCACCGUACUAAGCUGUUGUUAAGCCGUUACUUAUGCGCACCGUUUCAAUAAAUUGUAAUUCUCAUUACUGAGAAGGUUGUCAAAUCAGCACCAUCUUCUGCUCUGCCUAAAUAUCGUGGCAGUUGUAACAGAAUGGGCAUGCAAAAAAUGAAUGAGAACUGCUGUGGAUUCCCUCUUUUCUCUCCGUCUUUCUCUCGCUCCCGCUCUCUCCUUCUCUGUCUUCUCAAUCUUUCAGGUUCAACACAUAUUGGAGGAUUCUUAAUCGGGUUGUUACCUAUAGAUCGUACGUGAUCUUAUACACAUGUGAUGUAUGCAGGAAUAAUAUUGGUCUUUAAAUGGUUUUAUUUCUUAAAUAAAUCAAAGAAUUUAAGUUCUUUUCUUUUCUUUUUUUGUUUAAAAACAAUCUACUAGACUACUUUAUCCGUACCAAAGUAUUUGAGCAAUCGAAACAAAAUUAUUGUGUCACGGCCUGAUUCUCGGAUCCAUAACUAACACAUAGACAAGAUUCCCUUCCAAGAUCCUAUACUUAUAUGAAUAUAAAAUAUACAUAUUUAAAAGAGACUUGAAAAGAAGGUACAACCUGUAAUGUUUUGAAUUAAAAGAGAUAGGAAAAGGCAACAAAGCCCUUGGAGGCUUAAAUAGAGGGUAUAAAAGAAUGAGGGGUAUAAUGAGAUAUUCUGGACAGAAUUAAGGAUUAAUUAUGGUCAGAAUUUUAGUAUAGUCAUGGAUUUAUGAUAUUUUUAGUUUGGUCUUUCAAUUUGACAAAAAUUACAAUUUGACCCUUAAAAAUAUGAAAAAUUACAAAUUGGUCCCUAGCUUUAAUAUUAGCUUUUGCAGAUUGGUUUGAUGAAUAAUUGAGGGUUAUUUAGUGAAUUAUUACCAAAUUUAUUAUUUGUUUUAUUAUGGAUUAGAUUUCGGAAAAACCGUUAGAUUUUUUAGUUUUUGAAAAAAUAACCAGUUUAAUCUAAAAAUAUAUAUAGGGAUCUUAUACCAGAUAUUGGAGGAUUCUUAAUCGGGUUGUUACCUAUAGAUCGUGAUCUUAUACCAGCUUUGUGAUGUAUGCAGGAAUAAUAUUGAUCUUUAAAUGGUUUUAUUUCUUAAAUAAAUAAAAGAAUUUAAGUUAAUCUCAUUUCUUUUUUGUUUAUAAAAAAUCUACUAGACUACUCUAUCCGUACCAGAGUAUUUGAGCAACCAAAAUAAAAUUACUAUGUCACGACUCGAUUCUUGGAUCCAUGACCGGCACAUAGCUAAGAUUCCCUACAAGGUUCUAUAUUUCUGUGAACCCAAACUCACAUGCAAACUUAUACUUUAAAUAACUCAAUAGGAGUUCAACGCAACAGUAAUAACAAAACUAACUUUAUAAUAUAAUUUGAUUAUCUUAAUACAAGACUUAAUUCAAAUUACACCCAAAAAAACAUGUUUUGAAGAUCCAACAAAAGUAACCUGAUAAUAAGUUAUAAGCCUAAAAUAAAUAAAUAAUAUGAGGGUGAUUUCAACAACUCAGUGAGUAGGUAACGUUUAAUAUACAUAUACGAGCUAGGUAAUACAACAAUAAGUAAUAUAUAUAUAUAUAUACACACACACACACACACACCCACGCGCGCGCGCACAACUAUGGCUUUAUGUUCUUAUAAGAAGAUUUCUCAAAUAGGUCAUAACAAGAAUAUCAUAAGGUAAAGCUCCUCAGAAAAUCAAAAUGUAAUAAGCAUGAGGCUUCAUAUUGUGGGAUGAUCAGUCCACACAGGUUGGUGACUCCCCCGACCAACUAGGGUUUUAGAUACGAUGUGCACAAAGACUAAUACUACGUUGUUAGCAUGGGUAUUCUGACUGGCAUACCAUAGGUUCAUAUCAUAAUCAAAUAAAGAUAUUCAUAUUUCAAGGCACAACUUAUAACAUCAAUCAAAUGAUGAGCUUUGAACUCAGAAGUCAAUUCAAAAAUAUGUAUUGGUUCAUAUCAAGAAUUUAGAUUUAAUAAUUGAUCAUUUUUUAUCGUAACAAAAAUAAUAUUCAACAUAUAUUAUCAAAAAGCAUGAUCCAAAUCAUAUUAACAACUUAAAUAUUUGUACCAUAUGAAAAAUUAUUCACUCACUUAACUGAAAAGCAAACAGAACUCGAAAGUAGAUACCGAAGGAAAGCCUACUGAUGUGUCUCAGGUAGAAUAUCAUGAUUAUUUAAAUACAAAGGAGACAUAUUAAAAAAAAGACUAAAAAAGAACGUACAACUUAUUUAAUACACUUAACUAAGAGUUUGUUCCAUAACCUUAUAUGUUUUGAACUAAACUAGUCUUUUUUUUUUCAAAACCCAAAAAUUAAACGGUUUUCUUGAAAUCUAAUUCAUAAAAAAACAAAUAAUAAGACUCGAUAAUAAUUAAUUAAAUAAUCCUUAAUUAUUCAUCAAACCAAUCUGAAAAGGCUAAUAUUACAGCUAGGGACAAAAUAGAAUUUUAGGAGUCAAAUUAAUUGGAGGACCAAAUUGAAAAUAUCAUAAAUUCAUAACUAUAUUGGAAGUUUGCCCAUAAAUCAUUCUCAAUUUUGUCUAGAAUCUCUAAUUAUGCUGGAAUUUUUGUUAAAUUUUUAGGGGUCAAAUUGUAAUUUUUUCAAAUUAGAGGGUCAAACUGAAAAUGUUAUAAAUUCAUAAAUAUAUUGGAAUCUUGCCCAUAAUUCACCCUCAAUUCUGUCCAGAAUCUCUAAUUAUGCUACAGGGACCAUUUUAUAAUUUUUUCAAAGUUCAGGGACUAAACUGUAAUUUUCAUAAAUUAAUAGAUCAAACUGAAAUUUCAUCAUCUUCAACCUUAAACUCAGAUUUUUUCAUAGAUUACCUCCUGAUUUACCAAAAUCUCUAACUCAAACUCAUCAUUUAAACAGAUCAUAACUCAAAAUCAUCAUUUUUAUCUAAAAUCUUUCAAAAUCAACUAAAUAACUCAUUACCCAAAAUAAUUAACCCAUAAUAUUCAAAUCAAUUCAUCAAUCAACUCAAAACAAAAUCUUCAAAAUCUAAUCUUCAACAAAACAGUAAAUCAAAGCUAAAAAAACAUAUUUAUACACAUCAAAAUAUAAAUAUUACAUUUUAAACUUAUUUUCUCUAACUCUCUUCUCUUUUAUUUAUCUUUCCCUCUUUCCUCCUCUUCUUCUUCCUACCCUUUUCUUUUCUCUUGCUUGUUCUCACUCUCAAAUUUCAAAUCCCUCUUUCUUUUUUCCUUCUAUUUAUACUUAGUAAGGUUUUAUUCAAUUACUAAAAUACUCCUUAUUCAUUUAUAUAUACUUUUAAACCUUCAAAGGUUUUGUUGCCUUUUUUCCUAUUCUCUUUUAUUUUCAAAACAUUACACACUGCAACUUUGAAUAUUGGGAAAUCUGGCAUUUGAUGGGAGAAUUAAAAAAAAUAAAAUUAAAAGUGAAGAAAAGUGUGAAUUUGAUAGGAGAACAGAGGAGUAUAGAGCAGCAGAGCCUAAUAAUUCAUAACAAUUUUAGGAUGUGAGUAUAGAGAAAAAUUAGAGAAAAUAAAGAUGGAGGGAGCAAAAGAAGGGUGGCUGAUUGUCUUUAGAGAAUGCUAUUUUAGAUUUAAGAUUAAAAAAAAUACUUAUUUAUACUUAUUUUUUUUAAGUGUUAAAUAAUGAUUUAGUUGAAUUGGUUCGGUUAAACCAAUUUUAAAAAUUAAAAACCUAAACUGAAGUCAACCAGAAAUUUUUUUGAUUUUUUAAUUAGUUAAUUUUUUUUCUUUUCAGUUCAGUGUUUUUUUUUUAUUUUUUUUAUUUAAUCAGUUAUUCCAUUUUUUCCUCAUCCCUACUAGCAGCUGACCAGAGUACUGUUAUUUCUGGCCAAGUGAUUUUCUUUGGAGUUUCGAUCUUCAUUAAUUGUUCUCAUGAAUCUGGUUUUUUUUAAUUAAAAAGUACAUAACACCUUUGUUUUAGCAUCUAACAGUAGACUCGAAGGAUUUGAAGCAGUGUAAUUAUGUGAACACGUUGAAUAGUUAGUGCGAAUAAAUAAAGCAAUAGAUUCAUGAAAGUGACAUUGGUGGUUUCCAGGAGGCAGUGAGACUAGUCUUUGCAUACAGCACAAAGAAAGCACAAGGCAUUUACAAUUAUUGACUAAAAACAAGCUUGCUGUUUACCUUUGGUAGGUGGAGUUGUAGCUUCCAGCCAAUUUCUAUUGACUUCUCCAAAGAAAAAAACAUAAAGUUGCUUGCAAAUUGCAGUGACUUUUUUAAUAGCUAGUCUUCCACUGAGAGAGAGAUCUCUCAGUAUACCAUUGAUUUCCUAAUUUCCCUCACCAAAUCUCUUAAACCUUUCUCAUGAUCUGUGCUUCCUUUUUCUGAUUGAAUCGAAUCAUCACGUAUUCUGUUCUUGAUCUGUAUACCAUUGAUUUCCUGAUUUCCGUCACCAAAUUUCUUAAACCUUUCUCAUGAUCUUUGCUUCCCUUUUCCUAAUUUCCCUUUUCUGACUUCUGCCAAUCAUCUCGUAUAGUGUUCUUGAUCUGUCUCUUUCUU